rnacentral:rRNA from 1 species
UAAUACAGAGGUGGCAAGCGUUGUUCGGAAUUACUGGGCGUAAAGGGCUCGUAGGCGGCCAACUAAGUCCGACGUGAAAUCCCAAAGCUUAACUUUGGAACUGCGUCGGAUACUGGAUGGCUUGAAUUCGGGAGAGGGAUGCAGAAUUCCAGGUGUAGCGGUGAAAUGCGUAGAUAUCUGGAGGAAUACCGGUGGCGAAGGCGGCAUCCUGGACCGACAUUGACGCUGAGGAGCGAAAGCUAGGGGAGCAAACGGGAUUAGAUACCCCGGUAGUCCUAGCCCUAAACGAUGAAUGUUUGGUGUGGCGGGUAUCGAUCCCUGCCGUGCCGAAGCUAACGCAUUAAACAUUCCGCCUGGGGAGUACGGUCGCAAGGCUG